UGGGGAAUAUUGCACAAUGGGCGAAAGCCUGAUGCAGCAACGCCGCGUGAGUGAUGAAGGCCUUCGGGUUGUAAAGCUCUGUCUUUUGGGACGAUAAUGACGGUACCAAAGGAGGAAGCCACGGCUAACUACGUGCCAGCAGCCGCGGUAAUACGUAGGUGGCAAGCGUUGUCCGGAUUUACUGGGCGUAAAGGAUGCGUAGGCGGAUUUUUAAGUGAGAUGUGAAAACCCUAAGCUUAACUUGGGGACUGCAUUUCAUACUGGAAAUCUAGAGUGCGGGAGAGGAGAAUGGAAUUCCUAGUGUAGCGGUGAAAUGCGUAGAGAUUAGGAAGAACACCAGUGGCGAAGGCGAUUCUCUGGACCGUAACUGACGCUGAGGCAUGAAAAGCGUGGGGUAGCAAAACAGGAUUAGAUACCCCUGGUAGUCCACGCCGUAAACGAUGAGUACUAGGUGUAGGAGGUAUCGACCCCUUCUGUGCCGCAGUUAACACAAUAAGUACUCCGCCUGGGAAGUACGAUCGCAAGAUUAAAAACUU
rnacentral:rRNA from 1 species